GAGAAAGAGAGCGAGAGAGAAGGAGGAGGAGGAGGAGGAGGAGAGGGAGGCCGGCGGAGAGGAGGCGGAGGCAGGGGCCGGGCCGCCGGAGGGACCAGGCAGGCGCGCGGCGGCCGCCCCUGGGCUGGGCGCGGAGGCCGGGCGGGGGCGGGGGCGGGGGCUGGCCGCGCGUCGGGCGCCAGGCCCGGGGCUGUGGGCACGGUGCCCAGCCCCCGGCGCACGCCGAGCCGAGCCGCCGCCGCUGCUGCAGUCGGCAUCCAUCAGCGGGCGGGGGUGUCGCGGAACAGGCUGCUCCGCAGAGCCCGCCGCGGCCCCGCGCGCCCGCCCCGCCCCGCGGCCUGCCGGCACCCCCCCCCCCCCCCGCAGGAGCCAACGGGGCGCCCCCCCGCCCAGCCUGCCCGAGAUGGGGACCCCCGGCCUCAGGUAGGCACGUGGGGGGGAUCAGGUGGCACGGGGGAGGGCGCUGGGGACUCAGGACACGUAGGCCCAGCCUGCAGCCCUGGGGAGGACUGGGGGCGAGCCCGGGAGGAACUGAGUUUGCCGGCUCUUGGCCCCCUGGCCUCGUGGGGGAGAUCCGUAGCUGUUCCUCCCCACCUCGUAGGUCUGCAGCCUCCCCAAGGCCUGGAGAGAGAGGUGGGCUGGCUGUGGGCUGGUGGUUACUGUUGGGAUGAAUGGUUGCUGGGUGCUGGGCUCCCUGGCUGGGCCACUCUGUUCUCUGAGACCGCUCCUGCCUCCUUUGUGGAGGCCAGAGGCUCUCUGGAUCUCUGUGUCCAAGCUUCAGAUGCUGCAGGCCAGUCAGUCUGUGGUUGGAGACUGGGGUGCUGGGCGGCUCCUGUCCUCUCUCUCAUCCGCUGGUUGGAGACCUUUUCCCACCUGGGCUCACUUCCCACCCCAUCUCUCCUCCAAGUCACCCAAAGCUGGGUGAUGGAUAAUAGUCCUGGGACCUGUGGGGUUCUGGUUUCCUAUUGUUCUGGCCAGAGACUGCCCCCCCCCCCCCGCCCUGAUUAG
rnacentral:lncRNA from 1 species